rnacentral:rRNA from 1 species
UACGAAGGGUGCAAGCGUUACUCGGAAUUACUGGGCGUAAAGCGUGCGUAGGUGGUUUUUUAAGUCCGUUGUGAAAGCCCUGGGCUCAACCUGGGAAUGGCAGUGGAUACUGGAAAGCUAGAGUGCGGUAGAGGGUAAUGGAAUUCCCGGUGUAGCAGUGAAAUGCGUAGAGAUCGGGAGGAACACCAGUGGCGAAGGCGGCUACCUGGACCAGCACUGACACUGAGGCACGAAAGCGUGGGGAGCAAACAGG